rnacentral:rRNA from 1 species
UACGGAGGGUGCAAGCAUUAAUCGGAUUUAUUGGGCGUAAAGGGCGCGUAGGCGGAUUGGCAAGUUAAGUGUGAAAUUCCGAAGCUCAACUUCGGAGCUGCACUUGAGACUGUUAAUCUGGAGGAAUGGCGGAGAAAAUGGAAUUCCACGUGUAGCGGUGAAAUGCGUAGAUAUGUGGAAGAACACCGGUGGCGAAAGCGAUUUUCUAGCUUACUCCUGACGCUGAGGCGCGAGAGC